CGUGUCCCUAUAUUCUGAGAUUUGAUUGGACAACGAGCAUUUGGAGAGGCGCACCCUUGACAUUAACUGAGGAAUGUGGUUGUUUUGGGACAACACCCCAGGGACAACCACCUGGCCAGGACACCGCCCCAGGGACAACCACCUGUCCGGGACAACGCCCCAGGGACAACCACCUGUCCGGGACAACGCCCCAGGGACAACCACCUGGCCUGGGGGUGGAAAAUGGGCCCUUUGACACAACCCAGCUGAUUGCCUUGUGCAAAAUACCUCGACAAUCUAAAGAAAUAGUUUGAAGCUAUUUAUCUGGGUAGUUGUAGUAAUAUACUACAUAACAAGUGUAAAUGUUCUUAUUUCUUUAUAUUGAACAAAUAAAGACGGUACAGUAUGGA